CAGCACAAUGGCUGGAGCUCCAAAUAGAUAUAGUACGAUCCUGCAUAAGUUGUACAGCUUCAACUGCCCCCUUUGCCAAAUAUGACAGAAGCAAUUAAAGACGAGAAGGUGGAGACAAGAGGGCGGAGGACAGGAUGAGGGGGAAAGGGAAGGGCAUAGCGAGAGUGUAAAAUUUGCAAAGCUGGGUCUCUCUGGCCAGCGCAAGCAUGGUCCCAGGCUCACCGGUCGGGAGGUCCUGCCAACCUGUCCCCACCUAAACAUACUCGGAUCUUUCCUUAACAUGUUUUAGUUUUUAAAUACUCGCUACUAGCAACGGCUACCCCCGCGGCCGCUGCAGCUGCUGCGGGUUCUGACAUUGUAGGAAUGCCUGGUUCCGGGGGAUGCUCGGUCAGCCAUGAGAAUGGGUGGGCGAAGGAAUUUUGGAGGACCAGAGAGCAAAGAUGGAACCUUGUGGUGUGUGUUGAGCGGAAAGAGAUAAAGGGCUCAUGAGGAUUCGCAAAAGAACAUCCAUGAAGAUAUUAUAGUUAUACGCCAACAAAUUAUUCCAGAGGACUUAAAGGUAGAAAAAUUCUUUGAAGAACUUGAUAAGGUCAUCCAAAAUAGAAACAUCAAAGUCCAGUGUCAAGACAAAAGUCAGAAUGAAUGAUGAUUGAGCAGGAGGCAAUGGAUCACCUUGGUGUCUUUGAAGACUGAU